ensembl:lncRNA
CAGCCACCACCACACCCAGCCACCACCACCACCACACCCAGCCACCACCACACCCAGCCACCACCACCACCCCCCGGCUAUUUUGGGUUCUCAUCCCGCCCUCAGACAGGCUGGGAGCUGCUCCCACAUUUUUCUUGUGAUGUUGCCCCACCACACCGACUCCGCGAUGCCCGUGACACCCAGGCCAGCGCUGCCUCAGCCUCUGUGGUGGAUUCGCUGGGCUGACAGCUGAGGGGAAGCGUUGGUAAGACCAAAGCUUCUCAACACGUUUCGCUUGGCUGGACCCUGGCUGGAAAAGCAAGGGGUUUCAUCUGACUUUUCUGUUUCUGUAGGACCCCUUGGGCUGCCCCCAGAAUGACGUGACCUCCCCGUACCUUUCCUGCCCUUUCAGGGAUGGGGGGGAGCAGGAAGAUGACACGCGCUUGCUGGGCGAGCGCAAGGCUGUUGAAGAGCCUCAACUUCUCUGUCUCGGUUCAUUUUUAAUCCAUCUCUUAAUGCAGUCCCCUCUGCAGCUGCAUGGAUAUACUGGAUGGCUGUGGGCAGCUAAAACUAACCAUCGCACACGCUUUCUGAUCAACGGGGACAGCAAUAAAAGCAGAAAGGGCAAUUACGUUAAUGGAAAAUACCCAGAAGAUGAAGAUGGGGAAGAAGGAAGCCUGACCGUCUCUUCCCCUCCUGCCGCUAAAGAAACCCCUGGGGCCGAUAACUCAGGUGACGUGGGUUUGUGUCCUGGCUCUGCCACGCGCUCGCUGAGUGACCCUCGGCAGCUCGUGCAAAGCGCUCUGCCCUCUUUCCCCAUUGAGAAAGCGGAAAAGGAAUUUGUUCCCCCCCUGCCCCUGCCUUUUUUCCAGGGUGCAGCUCUGCUUGCAACCCGCAGUGGUGCAGGGCAGCACCAUAAGUCCAGCAACUGCCUUGGCGGGUCCUGCACCCUCGUGUUAAAUUGUUCCUUCCCAGACACCAGCGCUCCUGUCCUGAAGCUGGCCCUGCCGGGAGGUCGCACCAGAGCUUGCAGGCAUGGCCCAGGCACGCUGUCCAAGCCUGAAAACUGGCCAAGGCUCACGUCCCGAGCAGGAGAAACUCCCAACCGUGCCAUGCUUGCUUGAAAGUCACUCCUAGAAGUCAAACUUAAGCAAGCUGAGCCAUCCCGUAAGUUUUCUCAUUCGCCUUUCUUAGGUCCAUGUGUCCCAAAUGCCCAUAUUUUCUCUUGGGAGUGUUUUAGAGCUGUGCACUGUCUCCUCAGAGCUAGCUUUCCGUUUGCCCUUUCUCCCCGCAGAAGUCCUCUUCUAGCUGUUCAAAGCAGAACCUUAAAAAAAAAAUCUCAAUUUUUGAGGAAUGCCAAUUCUUACGUUUUUAGGAUUUACCCCCCAUGGCCCCUGAUUGGAAAGAGCAGCUCAUCGUUUGCUCUUGCUGCCCAGGCACGUACACGCACAGCCAGUGACGAGGGAGCACCCUCCCCCCCAAAUGUGCCUCCUGACCUGCUGCGUGGAGCAAGGGACACAAGAGGAGGAUGAAGGUCUUCUGCAAACGGACUCAAAAAGCUCUUAGGCUGUUUUGAGACGUGAAGGGACCCACUGGUGGGCCGACCACCUAGGACAAACCUAGGCAGGGGAUAAAUGGCCCAAGCAGGCAACUCCUCCCCGCUUGUCUCACGAGUGGAGAUGCGGCGCGUGGGGAAAGAGCCAUCCCACCCAGCAAUUUAGCCCCGAGCGGCUGGACCAACAGCUGGGCUGAUUCCCCUCUUGAAAUGUGAAGGGGGGUGUGUCAAGAUGAUGAGGCCAAUCUUCUCCGCGGUGCCCAGCAACAGGACAAGAGGCAACAGGCACAAACUGAACCACAGGAAGUUCCAUCUGAACCUGAGGAACAACUUCUUUCCUGGGAGGGUGACAGAGCACUGGAACAGGUUGCCCAGCGAGGUAGUGGAGUCUCCUUCGCUGGAGAUAUUCAAAACCCGUCUGGAUGCCAUCCUGGGCAACAUGCUCUGGAGGACCCUGCUUGAGCAGGGAGGUUGGACUAGAUGAUCUCCAGAGGUCCCUCCCAACCUCAACCAUUCUGUCAUCUAGUUUUCCAGUUUAAAAGCCUGAAUCCAAAUCUAGGCUUCUAUUU